CUACGGGAUGCAGCAGUGGGGAAUAUUGCACAAUGGGGGAAACCCUGAUGCAGCAACGCCGCGUGAGUGAUGACGGUCUUCGGAUUGUAAAGCUCUGUCUUCAGGGACGAUAAUGACGGUACCUGAGGAGGAAGCCACGGCUAACUACGUGCCAGCAGCCGCGGUAAUACGUAGGUGGCAAGCGUUGUCCGGAUUUACUGGGCGUAAAGGGAGCGUAGGCGGACUUUUAAGUGGGAUGUGAAAUACCCGGGCUUAACCUGGGUGCUGCAUUCCAAACUGGAAGUCUAGAGUACAGGAGGGGAAAGCGGAAUUCCUAGUGUAGCGGUGAUAUGCGUAGAGAUUAGGAAGAACACCGGUGGCGAAGGCGGCUUUCUGGACUGUAACUGACGCUGAGGCUCGAAAGCGUGGGGAGCGAACAGGAUUAGAUACCCUAGUAGUC
rnacentral:rRNA from 1 species